CCAUUAACAGUGCAUAGGCCUAGGUGUGUGUUUGUGUGUGUGUGUGUGUUCACCUCGGCAUUAUUCGCGACCUUCAAGUACAGGAAACUUUUCGACUUCACCGUUUUGUGGUCGAGUGUCGCGUAAACACUGUUGUGAGUGUCUCUGCCUAAUCGUGCGUGUGAGUGUGUGCGUAACUCGAGGCCGAGGCAAAAAAUAUGGCGGCGGCUCCUCGGCCCCCACCCUCCUACAACCGCCCUUCCACCCCCUCAGACAUCACCACCACCUCCACCACCACCGCAGUGUUCGUGACUUUGGGGCGUGGAUAGUGCCAUGGUAGGACAAGGUUGUUGCAGGGCCAUGCACAGCUGGCGGGGGACGAGAGUUCAACCCACUGCCGCGCCCCACCUCCCCGCCAUGGUCGCCAAGGGGGAAUCUCGCUUGCUGAUGUGCGGGGCUCUGAGCUGCGUGGCGGUAGCUGGAACAGAAUGGAGAAGAAAAAAACGAAAGAAAAGGAGAGGAGGAAGGAGACAAGAAAGAAGGGAAAGAAGAAGACAGAAAGCAUGAAGAUGAAAUGUGAAAGAAGAAAGAGGAGAGAGGAGAAGUUGGAAGAGGCUGAGACAAGAAAGGGAAGAGAACAUGAACAGAAAGAAGAAGAGGAGGAGGAAAAGGAGGACAGGAGGAAAAAAAUAAGAUAGAGCACAAGAAGAUGAGAGGCUAAAGAAGAAAGUGAGACAAGUUGGAAGACAGAAACAAGAAAGGGAAGAGAACAUGAAAAGAAAGAAGAAGAAGAGGUUAAGGAAAAGGAGGACAGGAGGAAAAAAAAUAAGAUAGAGCACAGGAAGAUGAGAGGCGAAAGAAGAAAGUGAGACAAGAAAAGGAAGAGAACAUGAAAAGAAAGAAGAAGAGGAGGAAAAGGAGGACAGGAGGAAAAAAAUAAGAUAACGCACAGGAUGAUGAGAGGUGAAAGAAGAAGGCGGGGAGGAAAAGUUGCGCUGUGACGAGAACUUCCAUUAAUCACGCCGCGGGUUUCAUCACACCGACGCGACGCCCAGGGAAGGUAAGUGUUGCCUGGUGUUGCUGGCUACGUUGUUCUCCUUUUUUCCCUAUACCACACGGGGGCCAUUUCUGCAGCUCAACACAACGGGUUCGAAAGCUUCUAAUCCAAACAUAAAACACUUUACGAAAGGUCCUUGAAUAAUGUUAGGUGUUCAUAAAGAGAAGUAAGAAGGGCAUACAGGAUAUCUCUUUAGUAUUGGGUAUUGGAGAGUAUACUUCGGGUGGAACGGGCCGCAUCAUUUUAGAGGUGCGGCAUAUUUCCUACAGCCCCUACACUAUACGCAUUUCUCACACCACCUCAACAAUUUCAACAGGUUUUAGAGUAGUGAUAUAUUCCCUACAGACAAACAACACAUCUCCUACACGUAAAAAUCAGUUCUGUCACAGUUCCUACAGAGUUCCUGUCACAUUUCCUACACUGUGUUAAAACGUUCAUUAGCUGUUCCUUAAAUCCCAGCAUGUUGAG